rnacentral:misc_RNA from 1 species
AACGCACCUUGCGCUCCUUGGUAUUCCGAGGAGCAUGCCUGUUUGAGUGUCAUUAAAUCUUCAACCAUGCAAGUUGUAAUAAACUGGCGUGGCUUGGAUAUGGGGACUUUUGCUGGCUCUCUUUGAGUUUAGCUGCCCUGAAAUGCAUUAGUGCAAGGGACCAUCCUGUUGCUAAUCUCUGGUGUGAUAUAACAAUCUACGCCAAUGGAAAGCUUCAAGUUUUCACAGUACCUUGGCUUCUAACAGUCCUUAUUAUAGGACAAUUUUGACACAUCUGACCUCAAAUCAGGUAGGACUACCCGCUGAACUUAA